rnacentral:rRNA from 1 species
AGAAUCAACGCUGGCGGCGUGCCUAACACAUGCAAGUCGAACGAGAAAGGGGAGCAAUCCCUGAGUACAGUGGCGACCGGGUGAGUAACACGUGACUAACCUACCCUCGAGUGUGGAAUAACAUCGGGAAACCGAUGCUAAUACCGCAUAACAUCGCAAGAUCAAAGGAGUAAUCCGCUUGAGGAGGGGGUCGCGGCUGAUUUAGCUAGUUGGCGGGUAAUGGCCCACCAAGGCGAAGAUCGGUA